AGGUUACUGCUAUCGGUGUUCGCCUAAGCCAUGCGAGUCAUAUGUUCUUCGUGAACAUGGCGUACUGCUCAGUAACACGUGGAUAACCUGCCCUUGGGUCCGGCAUAACCCCGGGAAACUGGGAAUAAUUCCGGAUAACGCACAUAUGCUGGAAUGCUUUAUGCGUCAAAUGGAUUCGUCCGCCCAAGGAUGGGUCUGCGGCCUAUCAGGUAGUAGUGGGUGUAAUGUACCUACUAGCCUACGACGGGUACGGGUUGUGAGAGCAAGAGCCCGGAGAUGGAUUCUGAGACAUGAAUCCAGGCCCUACGGGGCGCAGCAGGCGCGAAAACUUUACAAUGCGGGAAACCGUGAUAAGGGGACACCGAGUGCCAGCAUCAUAUGCUGGCUGUCCGGGUGUGUAAAAUACACCUGUUAGCAAGGGCCGGGCAAGACCGGUGCCAGCCGCCGCGGUAACACCGGCGGCCCGAGUGGUGAUCGUGAUUAUUGGGUCUAAAGGGUCCGUAGCCGGUUUGGUCAGUCCUCCGGGAAAUCUGACAGCUCAACUGUUAGGCUAUCGGAGGAUACUGCCAGACUUGGAACCGGGAGAGGUAAGAGGUACUACAGGGGUAGGAGUGAAAUCUUGUAAUCCCUGUGGGACCACCUGUGGCGAAGGCGUCUUACCAGAACGGGUUCGACGGUGAGGGACGAAAGCUGGGGGCACGAACCGGAUUAGAUACCCGGGUAGUCCCAGCCGUAAACGAUGCUCGCUAGGUGUCAGGCAUGGCGCGACCGUGUCUGGUGCCGCAGGGAAGCCGUGAAGCGAGCCACCUGGGAAGUACGGCCGCAAGGCUGAAACUUAA
rnacentral:rRNA from 1 species